GGACCAAGUAGCUUGGUAUGAAUGAAUUAAUGACGAAAUAGGGAAUUUAAGGAAACUAUUCAGUUGUUUAUUAACUUUUUAAAAUUUCAUUGGAUUUUUUAACAGUGAUGGUGGGUUUUCAGGAAAAAAGAAGACCAGAGUCGUACCUUUUGUAUCAGGGUGAUAGGAUUAACUUUAAGGAUUUUAAUUUCCCGAAAGAAAAAGAGCUUUUUUUUUUUUGGUCUUUGUUAAAGUAAGGUCAAAAAGAGGAAAAAAGAAGCUAAAAGUUAUUCGUUUUUUUUAUAUCUGGUUCCUUUUAAGGAUCACUUUAGGUGGACCAUUCUAUGGUGGAUGGAUAUCUUUCAAGGGAUAAGCUUUGAAAGAAAAAGAUUUUGUAAGAUGAGAUAAUUUAUUAUUAAUUGUUUCUUUACUUUAAAAAAGUGAAUUUUUGAUUAAUCUUUGAUUCUGAAGGGAGAUUGACUUAACCUAUAAAAUAAUAAUAUAAUCUAUCAAUUAGUAGAUGGAGGAUAAUUCUUAUUUAUGAACUCGGCAAAAAAAGGCCUGCCUGUUUACUAAAAACAUCGUCUCUUGAAAAAAUAUGAGGUAAGACCUGCUCACUGCAAUGUAAAUAGCCGCAGUACUUUGACUGUGCUAAGGUAGCAUAAUAAUUUGACCUUUAAUUGGGGUCUAGAAUGAAUGGUUCGACAAGGUCGAAACUUUAUUAAUAAGAGAAGUUGAAUUUAAAUUAAAAGUAAAAAUGCUUUUAUGAUAGAGAGGGACGAUAAGACCCUAAGAUCUUUAAAUUAGACUUUCUUUAAGAAAGAAGGCUUGUUUUUAUUUGGGAGGAGUCUAAAACUAAAACUUUAGCAAACUUAAAGAUGAACAAAUCGAGCAAAUUAUUGGUAUUGGAUAAAGUUACCUUAGGGAUAACAGGAUAAUUACUCUUUUUUAGAACGUAUGGGAGAGAGAGAUUAUUACCUCGAUGUUGAAUUAAGCUAUCUUCUUUGGGUAGAAGAAAAGAGAGUAAGUCUGUUCGACUUUUAAAAGCUUACAUGAUUUGAGUUUAGACCGACGUGAGUCAGGUCAGAUUCUAUCUUCUCUGAUAAAAUUUCUUUUUGUACGAAAGGACUAAGGAAAUGGCUUGAAGCUUGAUUUGU
rnacentral:rRNA from 1 species